AGAGUUUCCAUUAUUUUAUUUUGAUUACCUUAUACAAUGUCUAAGAUUUACAUUCUUUAGCAGUGCUGGUAGGAAUUUAGACAAAGCACAGAGGAAACAGAGGCUCACUUUUCUCAUCUGUUAAAAAAAAUAAGAGCAGGCCCACUGCGACAUAGUAGGGUAAUGACAAUGUAAACUGUUACACAAGUGUUAGUUUUUGUUAAGAUGUACUGAUACCAAAAAUUGUUGCAUACAUUUUGGGUCUUGCUGAUGUCCAAUUAUAUUUAAUAGGAGACGGUUGCUCACCUCCUGUUGGACGCUCUCCCGUGGCUUUCCUUGCCC
rnacentral:lncRNA from 1 species